rnacentral:lncRNA from 1 species
CAAGGACCAGGAGCGGAAGCCGAGCCUCGCGGCCCGGGGCACGGCGCCGCCCGCCCCUCCCCGGCAGUGCCUCCCGACCCCCUGCCCGCCGCUGGGACACGGCCUGAGGCCCCGCCCGCCGCCCGGGACCCCUCCCGCCCGCUGCCCUGGGACCCUCGCCCCAGGACCGCGGGGUCUCCUCCCGGUUCCGCCGCCCGCCCCGGCGAGAACAGGCCCGGCGGGCAAGGCGGCGGCGGACCAAGGGAGGCCUGGCCCGGCAGCGGGGAGAAGGGCGCGGCGCAGCCUGAGUUUCCCACCUUUCCUCCUGGCCCAGACGCGGCUGGGGCGGACGGGACCUCUCGCGCUCUGCCUCCUCUUCUUGCUUCAUGGAGCCAUGCGCCUGGGUGGGGGCUCCCGAGAGAAGCUGGCCUGCGGGCGGGCCGGACGCGCUGCGCGGACGGGGCGGGGCGAAGGAGGCCGGCGGGCGGAGGAGGAAGCGGCGGGGCGGUGGCGGCGGCGGCCGGGAAGAACUAGAGGUAUUCCCCGGGCGGCUGGAGGACUGAGUCGAGCCGGGACCCGAGUCCUCCGGUAUCCCAGCAGCCACCGGAGGCAGUGAGGUAAUGGAGGAAGAAUGUAGGGAGUCCUCCAGUGGACCAUACUCCCUCUAGCGAGCCGCGGAAACCAUAGAGAUCAGGGCUCAGACGGAGGGCCGGCCCACUGCUGUCACGUGGCCCCCAACCGUGCGCUUUAUUGGCUGGUGCUGGCUCUACGGGGUUGAAUUUUGGACGCUGCCUGCCAUUCGUGGGGCCGAGUUUCAGGCAGCUGGAAUAAAGAGAGACAUCGGUGGAAAGCCGCGAGAAGGCCAGCGUCCCUGGCUGGGAGCAGAGCUAGCCGAGUAGGGCGCCCGGCUGUCAAACUGGCCGGCGCCGUGGACGCUGGGCCGCCCCGGAGCGGUCGCAGAGUCUGCCGGGAGUCGUAGUCCGGGACGGGCUCGCGGCAUUGUCCGCGACGCAGCUUGGGAUCCGGGUCGGGUUGUCGGCUGGGUUGCUGCCGGGCACCGUAGCGCGUUAGCCACCCAGCAUUGAGCUGCCAGCGGCUGUUCUCCCUAAGCACCCUCGCUCACGUCGCCUCGUCUCGCCUCGCCUGACCGGCCGCAGCCUUGGAUACCAGCCUUAAAUCGAGCCGACGACGGCCCAGCCCCGCCUGCGGCGAGGUGCGCGGGAUUCGGUGCCAGCCGCUCGCCCCUGGCCGGGCCAGCCUCUUGAUGCACCGGGGACGGGCGCGCCCAUCCGACUCUUCGAGGGGCGGCAGGGCCCUAUCUGUGUCUUUCGCUCGCGAGCCCCCAGCUAGAGUUGGCUUCAGCGGAAUACCUACUGUGCAGGAUUAUUCAACAAGCCGAUUGAUCACAUUCUUCAGCUCUAGCAGUGCAAAGGCUUUACUGAAAAAGAACAUUACAAAUUUUUUUUGAAAGAAAUUUGGGGGUAAAUUUAAUUUUAAAUACUGAUUUUUGAUAACAUUUGAUCUUAUGACAGCAUUUGUAUUUUUAAUUACAGAUAGGAUUACACUAAAAGUCAUUUCUGACCUGCUCCCUUACCCUUAUGGCUAAAAUAAACUGUUAGGCCCUGAAGCAAAGGCGAGCCAUGUUCUAGAGCAGUGUCUUUCUUGUAUUAAAAUACGGCCCCAUGCUCACAUAUAG